rnacentral:tmRNA from 1 species
CAUAAUCGAAAAUGAAUAAAGCAAUAAGCAUGUAGAAAGCCUAUUGGUCGCUCGUUUGGACCAGGGUUCGAUUCCCUGCAGCUCCACAG